UACGAAGGGGGCUAGCGUUGCUCGGAAUCACUGGGCGUAAAGGGUGCGUAGGCGGGUCUUUAAGUCAGGGGUGAAAUCCUGGAGCUCAACUCCAGAACUGCCUUUGAUACUGAGGAUCUUGAGUUCGGGAGAGGUGAGUGGAACUGCGAGUGUAGAGGUGAAAAUUCGUAGAUAUUCGCAAGAACACCGAGUGGCGAAGGCGGCUCACUGGCCCGAUACUGACGCUGAGGCACGAAAGCGUGGGGAGCAAACAGGG
rnacentral:rRNA from 1 species